rnacentral:tRNA from 1 species
ACAUUGGUGGUUCAGUAGUAGAAUUCUAGCCUUCCAUGCAGGAGACCCAGGUUUGACUCCCAGCCAGUGUA